UGGUGGAGCAUGUGGUUUAAUUCGAUGCAACGCGAAGAACCUUACCUACUCUUGACAUCCACAGAACUUAGCAGAGAUGCUUCGGUGCCUUCGGGAACUGUGAGACAGGUGCUGCAUGGCUGUCGUCAGCUCGUGUUGUGAAAUGUUGGGUUAAGUCCCGCAACGAGCGCAACCCUUAUCCUUUGUUGCCAGCACGUAAUGGUGGGAACUCAAGGGAGACUGCCGGUGACAAACCGGAGGAAGGUGGGGAUGACGUCAAGUCAUCAUGGCCCUUACGAGUAGGGCUACACACGUGCUACAAUGGCAGAUACAAAGUGAAGCGAACUCGCGAGAGCAAGCGGACCACAUAAAGUCUGUCGUAGUCCGGAUUGGAGUCUGCAACUCGACUCCANGAAGUNNNAAUCGCUAGUAA
rnacentral:rRNA from 1 species